rnacentral:lncRNA from 1 species
CUGCUUAUCAUCCGCAAACUGAUGGUCAGAGCGAAAGAACGAUUCAGACGCUGGAAGAUAUGCUGAGAGCAUGUACCCUCGAAUUCCAAGGGAAUUGGGACGAGCACUUACCUCUGGUAGAAUUUUCCUACAACAAUAGUUUUCACUCGAGCAUCAAGAUGGCUCCUUAUCAAGCCUUGUAUGGGCAGAAGUGUCGUACGCCGUCUUGUUGGCUUGAAGCCGGAGAGAAGCAGUUUAUGGGCCCCGAGAUAGUCCAUGAGACUGCUGAGAAGUUGAAGGUGAUUAGGGAAAGGAUGUUAGCAGCCCAGGAUCGUCAGAAGAGCUAUGCUGACAAGAAAAGACGACCGAUAACUUUCGAAGUUGGGGAUUCCGUUUUGCUUAAAGUCUCACCGUGGAAGGGACUUAUACGAUUUGGGAAACGAGGAAAGUUGAGUCCAAGGUUUAUUGGACCGUUCAAAGUUCUUCAGAAGAUAGGGAACCAAGCUUACAAGCUGGAAUUGCCCGAAGAACUCAAUGGUAUUCAUAACACCUUCCAUGUGUGUUAUUUGAGGAAAUUCACGGGAGAUGUUCCCGACAUAAUUCCAAUCUCAGAGUUAAGGAUGGAUGAAAAUAAAAGGUUGAUCGAAGAGCCUGAGGCAAUUGUUGACCGUAAGACUAAGAAGUUACGACGCAAGAUGGUCGACUUGGUGCUAGUCCGAUGGAAACAUUCGAAUGGGCCGAAUCUCACUUGGGAAACAGAGGAUGACAUGAUGAGUCGCUAUCCACAUCUGUUUGCUGAUGCAUGAUUCCGGGACGGAAUCAUCCUAAGGGGGAGAGAAUUGUAACGCCCGGGUUUCAGGGCUAAGCAUUUUUGUCAAUGUAAUAGUCUAGGUCAACUCUUGUAACUCUUUUUGAAGUAAUAAAGAUGAAAUAUUUGAGUAUUAUGUGAAUUAUAUGUGUUUAUUAUUUAAUUAUAAAUGUAUAAUUAAUAAAGAAUAAAAAUGAGCGUCAAAAUUAAAGUGUGAGAUAAUCCCGAUAUCUCUACAUAAAGUUGUAGAAUAUGUCUCAAGGUUUCCGUGCAUAUAAGGAACGCCGAAAUCCGAGUUAUAACGAAGAAGUUAUGACCCGUCGAAGUUUCACGACAGAACCGGCACGAUACCGGGAAGCGUGAAUAGUGAAUUUACGAUAGAGCGAGAUUUAGCCUUAGUGAUCUAAACGAAAGUCGUAGAAUAUGUUAAACUAAGAACAUCGAUAAAAAGAACGCCCAAAUCUGACUUCGUAUGAAGAAGUUAUGAGAUUUUAAACAGACCAAUCCUGUCCCGGCUUGUUAAAAAUAUAACUUUAAAAAUAAAGUCAAAAUUAGCCGACGGAGUCUAAACGAAAGUUGUAGAGUACGUCUUCACCUACGCGUGGAUAUAAAGAACGUCAAAAACGGAGUUCGUAUGAACGAGUUACAAAUUAUAAUAGCAUAUUUACGUAUUAAAAUAAAGUAUAAAUCAUGUAUACGUACACAUAUAUAUACAUAUGUAUAUAUCAUUAGAAAGGUAUCGACGAUGCGGUCAUUAUAAGACUAAUGUUGAGUUCUUUCGACAUUAGUUUAGUACAAAUAUCAUUAAAUCCAUUUAUAAUAGUAUUAUAGAGGGGUGUUUAGUUGUUUAUAUAACUAAAAGGUCAUUAAGUAAUUAUGGAGGGUAGUUUUUGAAAAUUCAAUUAGUAUAAAUAAGAGCCUUGGGCUCUCAUAUUUCUUGCACCAUUCUCUUGAUUCAAGAGUCUUUCUCUCCUUAUCCCCCGAGCAUUUCGGUCCCUCGUGAUUCGACUUCUCUUUCUGUAGCUUAGUAUAGUAAGGUGAGCGCUGAAGCGCUGCACGAAUCUUUCUUAGAAAGAUUCAGCGACGAAGUUCUGCCCCUGCAGAGCCCGACUCCUAGCUAAAACCCCCUUGUAAGUAAGUUAUGCUUACCUUAUUUUAAUAUAGCUUAUAUUUAAAAUUAGUAUUGUUAUUAUGAACUUAUAAUAAAUAUUUGAGCUAUUAUUAUAACUUAUAUAAGUGUCGUUAUAAAUUUUUUUUUAACUACUCGCGGUACGGGGAAUCUGGUUUAAAGGGCCGCAUAGGGUUGUUGGAUUUCAGAAGUGCUAUAUGCCAAAAUGGUCCUGCCCUCCGGUGUUUUAUGUCUGGCCCCUGUCUGUACAUAGUGGUUGGAAAAUAUUGUUUAACGCUUAUAUAAUAAUAAUAAUACUAAGACUAAUAGUUGGUCACGGUAAAUAUUAGACUAAAAUUUAGCGAUAAUAAUGCUAGGUUUCGUCGAAGGAAAAUAGAAUCGUUAGAAGCAAGCGCUGCCCGAUUUUGGAAUCAUCACCUUAACAAGUGAGUGCAUAGUUACUUUCAACUUACACAUAGAUAUGAAGUAUUUUAUAUAAAUUACGUGCUAUGUGUGCAUAUUAUCUGAAUACUUGCUAUCUAUGCUAGAUGAACGUUGUUAUACAUGUUUUCAAUGAUUUAAACUGUAUAUGUAUUUUAUAUCUACGAAAAUGUUGGGGUAAAACAUGGGUAGAUGCAAUAGGUGAUGUGUGAUAAAAUGAUGAGAGGCCUCGAUGUUGAUGUUGUUGAUUCUGUCAUCUAGCGGAGUAUGGAUGACGACCACGGACUCUUCUAGACAGUCCAGUGGAACACUAGCAGGCUCGCAACCUGUAGGUGUUUGUGAACGAUAUGUUCACCGGUGUACUCCAUCCCCCACAUGGUUGCCUUUAGGACAUUUAUUGCUGAGGAAUCCCCUUAGCAGUAGUGUCCGUCCCGAUGAUGAUCCUUAGGCUAGGUCCCUUAUGAUAGGUGUUUAGGGACGUAAAGUGAGGAUAACGGGAACGGGUAAUCGGGUUAUUGUUGAUCGAUGAAAUUAAUAAACUUAUUUAUUGUGGGUUGAAAACCCUAUGUGCUCACCAGGCUCCCAAGCCUGACCCACUCAGUUUUAUGUAUUACAGGUAGUGGCGCAUGAGCAUAGGUGUGAUGUUUUGGACGAGGGAUUACGGAUAUAGGCCUGUAGAUAUGAAAUAAUGUAGUAAGGCUUAUAUUGUACUGUUUAUGCUUUUGAUCUGUACGAACAUGACAUCCCGAGUCUUUUAAUGAAAUACAUUUCUAUGGAAAUGCUUUUGAUAAAUCUUUAUCAUAUUUUUGUUUUGGGACAAAUUCCGCAACACUUUCAUUUAAAAUGUAACUCUGAUUUUUAAACAAAGCAUAAACAAACCGGUCUUUUCUGGCCGUGAUUUUGGGGAUGUCACAGUUGGUAUCAGAGCAUUAGUUUAAGCGAACUAGGAAUUUGUAGGAUUUCUAGACUUAAACUUAGAAUGCUAAGCGAUGAUUGUGAGGUGUGAGCACUAGCUUAUUUUAGGAAUUGUGCCUAAAAUGCUUUUAUGUGCUAAAUGCUUUGUGCAUAAUAUGCUGUUAAUUGUUCGGAUCUAUGGUCUGUUGCCGACCGGAUCUGGAAACCUUAUGUGUUUAGGAUUCUAAACGUACGACUACGAUAUUAGAACUAGCAUGUAAACGUUUCGGAGUGAUAAGGACGAUUUAAAACGUCUAUCCUAAAUAAAGAUCUAAAUUCACCUUAUUCGGUGUAUAGAUCAAGAUGGCAAGGACCCGUAGCGGAAACGUGAACGCAAAUGGAGGUAGGAACCAACCCCCAGUGGUUCAGCAAAUACCUGUUGUUGAAGAAGUUGCACCUGAGCCAGUCACCAUGGCUGGAGUUCAAGCCAUGAUUCAGGCUAUGCUAGCUGAACAAAGGGAAGAAAUGAGACGGAUGCUCCACGAAAAUAGGGACGAACCUACCAUACAUGUUGAACCGACGGAGCCAGUUCCCGAGCCAUCUGAGGAAGGGAACUAUAGCCGCCAAGUGAGUCAAGUAGGGACUCAAGGUGAGCAAAAGGAUGGCCCAGAAGGGAGAAACAACAAGGAUGGGCGGAUGUACAAAAAUUUCUUGGGUGCGAAACCACCAAGUCUCUCAGGAAGCCCAAAGCCUGUUGAGAUUAUGGACUGGAUCUCCGAGAUGGAGAUGGUGUUUGAGAGCUGCGACUGCAGCGAGAAGCAGAAGACUGUCUUCGCUGUGAGACAAUUGAAAACUGGAGUCUUGAGCUGGUGGAAGCUAUUGGCAGAUACAAUGCCACGGGGAGAAGCUCUGAAAAUGUCAUGGGAUGAGUUCUUGGAACAACUGAAGGCGCAGUACUGUUCAGAGAUAGACCUGAUUGAUCUGAACAAUGAGUUCCAAAAUUUGAAGAAGGGGAGAAUGAGCAUCGAUGACUAUGCUGCUGCAUUUACGGAAAAGAUGAAGUUGUUUCCAUACCUAGUGCCAACCGAACUUUCCAAAAUUGAGAAAUUCGCAAACGGACUGCCGGCUGACUUUGGCCCAACAGUCAAGAUGGCAACCACUCUGAAAUCAGCUGUUCGAGCAGCUAAGAACGUGGAGACCCAACAAAAGGAAAGAGGUCUGGAGAGGGCUGAGGUUGGUGAGAAACGGAAGUUCAAUGGAUCCUCGAAGUCCAACAAGAAGAGUAGAUUCUCGAAGUCUGGUUCGAGGGGAGGAGGAUCAGAAGCGAAGUGGUGUGACAAGUGCAAGAAGAAGCACUCUGGGAAGUGUGACGGAGGGGUCACUUGUUACAAGUGCGGAAAGCCUGGGCACUACGCCAAUGAAUGCACCCUCAACCAGAAAGCCUGUUAUGGGUGCAAUGAAGAAGGGCACAUUUUGAAGGACUGCCCGAAGAAGAAGGAGACAGGAAGACCCAACAUACCACCGAAGCCGAAGGCGAGAGCCUUCCAGAUGACGCUCGAGGCUGCAAAGGAGGCAGCAGACGUCGCUUCAGGUACCUUUCUUGUAAAUGGUUUGCCUGCAAAUAUACUAUUUGAUUCCGGAGCCAACUACUCCUUUGUGUCGCAUAAAUUUGGUGGGAAAUUAGCAUUGCCUGUAGAAAAACUAGAUAAUGCCCUGAUUGUAGAAGUUGCCAGUGGCAAAUUCGUACCUGUUAGUAAUCGUAUUAGGAACAUCGUCAUUGACCUAAACGGAAACGAAUUCCACGAAGAGCUAUUACCCAUAGAGUUAAACGGUUUCGACAUCGUUUUGGGUAUGGAUUGGCUUAGCGCCAACGAUGCUGAGAUUCAAUGCCGAAAGAAGAUAGUAAAGGUAAACCCACCCGGAAAAGAAUCAUUUAUGGUGUAUGGGGACAAACGCAGAGUGAAUUCUGGAAUCAUCUCCCUGAUGAAAGCCAGGAAAUGUUUGUCCAAAGGAUGUGCAUCAUACUUGGCAUUCGUAAUCGAUGCCAAGAAGGAGAAGAAAGAGGUGCAGAAUAUACCGGUUGUGUGUGAUUAUCCGGAAGUCUUUCCCGAAGAUCUUCCCGGAUUACCACCUGAUAGGCAAGUGGAGUUUCGUAUAGACUUGUUACCAGGAACAACACCGAUAGCAAAGGCACCUUACCGAUUAGCACCGACGGAGAUGAAGGAGCUCAUGACGCAACUUCAGGAGCUGUUGGACAACGGUUUUAUUCGACCUAGUUCAUCACCCUGGGGAGCUCCGGUGUUAUUCGUGAAGAAGAAGGACGGAAGUAUGAGAAUGUGUAUAGACUACCGAGAGCUGAAUAAGGCAACGGUGAAGAACAAGUAUCCAUUGCCGAGGAUUGAUGACCUAUUCGAUCAGCUGCAAGGUUCGAGCUACUUCUCAAAGAUCGAUCUUAGGUCAGGAUAUCAUCAGCUAAAGGUGAGAAAGCAGGAUAUUGAGAAGACUGCAUUCAGAACGAGAUAUGGACACUACGAGUUCUUGGUUAUGUCAUUCGGGCUAACCAAUGCUCCCGCAGCAUUCAUGGAUUUGAUGAAUAGGGUUUGUAAACCAUUCCUCGAUAAAUCCGUGAUAGUGUUCAUCGACGACAUUCUCAUCUACUCGAAAAGCCAAGAGGAGCAUGGCAAGCAUCUACGGGAAGUAUUAGAAGUGUUGAAGAAGGAGAAGCUUUUUGCAAAGUUCUCCAAAUGCGACUUUUGGAUACGGGAAGUCCAAUUCUUGGGUCAUGUUGUUAACCAGGAGGGAAUAAUGGUUGACCCCGCAAAGAUCGAGGCUGUAAUGAAGUGGGAACGUCCAAAGAGUCCCACGGAGAUUCGAAGCUUUCUAGGAUUAGCCGGAUAUUAUCGACGAUUUAUCCAAGGCUUUUCUUCGAUAGCUGCUCCAUUAACAGCUUUGACUCAUAAAGGAGCUACGUAUACGUGGAGUGAGAAACACGAUGAGGCAUUCGAGAAGCUAAAGAAGAAGUUAUGUGAAGCACCGAUACUUUCUCUACCCGAUGGAGUCGAAGAUUUCGCGGUUUAUAGUGACGCUUCUGGAGUCGGGUUGGGUUGUGUUCUGACCCAAAGAGAAAAGGUGAUAGCAUACGCAUCUCGACAAUUGAAAGAGCACGAAAAGAACUACCCCACUCAUGAUCUGGAGUUGGCAGCGGUAGUUUUUGCCUUAAAGAUAUGGAGGCAUUACCUCUACGGCACGAAGUGCAAGCUCUUCACUGAUCAUAAGAGUCUCCAGUAUCUCUUUAAUCAGAAGGAGUUGAACAUGAGGCAACGACGCUGGCUAGAACUUCUCAAGGACUACGACUGUGAGAUACUUUACCACCCAGGUAAAGCAAAUAUUGUUGCUGAUGCUCUCAGUCGGAAAGUCAAUCUGGAAAGGAAAAGGCCAAGAGCGUUAAGAAUUGAAGUCGUCUCGACGAUUGUGGAAAGUAUCAGGAAAGCUCAAGAAGAAGCUUUAGAGAAAAAUGACCGAAAGGAAGAACGUUUGGGAAGAACGUUAGUGUUCGGUACAAACAGUCGAGGACUGAAGGUAUUCCAAGAUCGAAUUUGGGUACCUAAGACGGGAGGAAUAAGAGAUCUUCUGAUGGAAGAAGCACACAAGACCAUGUACUCGAUUCAUCCCGGUAGCACUAAAAUGUAUAGGGACCUAAAACCCUACUACUGGUGGCCGACGAUGAAGCUCGAUGUUGCGAAGUAUGUGGCCGAGUGCGUAACAUGUGCGAGGGUUAAGGCACAACAUCAGAAACCGUAUGGGAGUUUAGAACCUUUACCUGUACCCAUGGGUAAAUGGGAAGACAUCACCAUGGAUUUUGUGACUAAACUGCCCAGGACGAAGAACGGUCACGACAUGAUUUGGGUAGUCGUGGAUCGUUUCACCAAGAGUGCACACUUCAUAGCAGCCAACGAGAAGUGGUCUAUGGAUAAGCUCGCAAAUGCUUACGUGAAGGAAAUUGUAAGACUUCACGGUGUCCCUCUUACGAUUGUAUCAGAUCGUGAUAGUCGUUUCACGUCAAGGUUUUGGAGGAGUCUACAAGAGGAGUUAGGUACAAAGUUGUGUUUGAGUACUGCUUAUCAUCCGCAAACUGAUGGUCAGAGCGAAAGAACGAUUCAGACGCUGGAAGAUAUGCUGAGAGCAUGUACCCUCGAAUUCCAAGGGAAUUGGGACGAGCACUUACCUCUGGUAGAAUUUUCCUACAACAAUAGUUUUCACUCGAGCAUCAAGAUGGCACCUUACCAAGCCUUGUAUGGACAAAAGUGUCGUACGCCGUCUUGUUGGCUUGAAGCCGGAGAGAAGCAGUUUAUGGGCCCCGAGAUAGU